rnacentral:lncRNA from 12 species
GGGGGGGGGGGGGGGGGGGGGGGGGGGGGGGGGGGGGGGGGGGGGGGGGGGGGACACGUGGGGACACGGCUGUGAGGGGACAUGGGUGCGGGGAGACGCGGAUGUGGGGAUAUGGGUAUGGGGGACAUGGAUGUGGGGUGAUGUGGAUUUAGGGGACGUGGACAUGGGGACAUGGAUGUGGAGAUAUGGGUAUGGGGAUAUGGAUAUGGGGGGGCAUGGGUGUGGGGGCACAUGGUGGAGAGAGUAUGGCUGCGGGGGGACACAUGGCUAUGCGGGGAGCUGCGGGGCAGGACGAGGGGUUCCCUUGGGACAGGGAUGGCAGUGAGUGUUGUGCUGCAGGACCUCAGCGUGGGAGUGGAGGCUCCCGGGGUCCCCCAGGCCAUGGGGCGUCCUGAAGGCACUGGAGGCUGGGCGUUGCCCCUAAAAGCUACACGGCAACAUCUCCGUGGAGGCAGGUCCAGCUCUGCCAGUCGCCCUGCAGCGUUACCUCCACUCCUCCAUUGUCAUGGGAUGGAGACACCACCAGGCCAAGACCUUUGCAGCUGCUGUUGGGGGAUUUGGCUCCAUCCAGCAUCAGCGAACACCGUGGCAGGAUUGACAGGCUACCGAGGCACCAGCAGUUCUCCACUGCAGAUGAAGGGAGCCAUUGACUGAUACAUCUCAUUGCAUGCAACCCCAGCAGUGACUGAACGGGGGUUACAUCCAUCAGGCAGAACACCACAUCACCCCAGCACCACUCUGGGCUUCCUGCGACAGCUCCAGUGACUCCUCAGCUCUGAGGUGAGUCAGCCCAGCAUGGGAAUCCAGCAGGAAAUUCUGUCAGUGAUAGAAAGAAAAUACAUAGGUUUCUGUUGGCCUGGUGAGUUGAUCCACUCAUGUGACCACUGUUUAAGGGAAUGAGAGGAAAAGAAAAUGAGAAACAAAACUGCCCCUUUUGGCAGCCACCCACACGUCAGGCAUAAUGCUCUGACUCAAAUCAGAUGGACGCCUUCCUCUACUUGAAAAAAACCUAAAAACAUCUAUUUUCUGUUAAUGUGCUAACUCUACUGUCACAGUUCUCUUCUCUGUUGACUGCACACUUCAUUGACCACCUCACUGCUCUUGCCAAAGGCUGGUGUCAGUCUGGCCAAGCUUCUGUCCCUGCUUACCUGGGACACACCAGCUCCUGGGUUUUAUGUAUGACUCAACAGCUACUUCCCCUUAUUCUCUGGAAAUUCAGUGAUACAGUAUUUACUGAGAAAUCAGUACUAAGAGUUUGGUGAUCUUCUCAGGCAAUACUUAAAAUACUUCUGCAUGAAAGUUUUAAAGAUGGGUAUAAACCAGUGGUUUUCAUUCACUCUGGUUACAUGUGAAAGACCAUGUGAAAUACCUCCAAUUAAA